UGGGACUCCACCACCUCCAUAUGUUAUGUAUCCUCAUGGAAUAUAUACACAGCCAUCUGUGCCACCUGUACGUAUUGUUGGAAUACAACUAAACCAAGAUUUCUUUCUUUUAAUAUACCUAAUAUGUUUUCUCCAAAGCAACCACUAGUUACUUGUUCCACUUGUUAAACUGUGGGCAGGGUUCACAACCAUUUAGUCCUUAUGCUAUGACCUACCCUAAUGGCAGUGCUGAAACUUGUGUAAGUUGCCUGCUAACCCAAACUAUCAAGUUAGUUAUAAUUCAACAGUUACUACAGGGGUAGUGAAAUCAUGUGCCAUGUUCUUCUGCAAAUCAUAGAAGAGUGUGCCUGCAAUCACUGAAGGAGAUAUUAAAUCAUCCGAGGGUAAGGAAAGGAAUUCUAUUCAAAGGUUAAAAGGAAGUCUUGGAAGUUUGAACAUAAUAGCAGGAAAGAACAGCAAUGAGCCAGAUAAAACUUCAGUUGCAGGUGACAGAGUCUUGUCGCAAAGGUAGAUAUAUGUUAGCCUGGUUAUUUUAAUUGUUAUCUUUGUGCUCUGAUUUCAUCGUGUAUUCUAAGCAUUUUGUUUGGAAUAUUUUUAAUGUAAAUCUAUUGUUUCCAUCAGUGAUAGUGGAAGUGAUGAUUCAAGCGAAGGAAGUGAUGCAAAAUCUGAGGACGUGAGCCAUUCUUCCUGUUUUGUUUGCUGAUUGUUUUUUUUUUAAUAGAAUACAAGUUCUACACCAUGUAACAAAAACACGUGGUUAUAUUGGAAAUUAUAUGGUUAACAGUGCUGUGUCUCCCGCAUGUAGUUGCAUGUCAAAUCUUACUAAAAAUUACUGUUGUGUUGGCAUCACGACAACAUACUAUCUCAGAGCACUGAACUACAACACCAGAAUGCCAAAAGGUGUCCGAAAUAGUUACAACUUGAAGAAAGAGUAGUAUUAAACAAUAUUUUUUAUAUGUUUUGAAUAGUCAAACUUAAUAUCAGUGCAGUAAACUUCAAAAAAUUUGACUGGGAAAAAAGAAAUAUCAUUUUAAGGAACUGGUGUUGCAGUUAUGAUUUGUCAUUUUCUUAGAGGAAGAAUAUAUCUUUAAAAUUUUUCUAAUGACAAUUUUAGCAUUUGCUUUAUCAUCAGCUACUUUGAAAUAAGGCCAUAAUGGGUCAAUAAGAUGUAGUUCUAAUAUAAUUAAUUUUUGUAUCAUAAGAGAGAAGGCCAAACAGAUAAACAUCAACUUGCCAUGAUGUAAAAAUCUAAUGAUGUGGUGGCCUAGGAGUAAAUGUACUUGCUUUGGUUGAGGAUCUACCAUUUUUAGCAAUAGAUCAGAAAAUACAACCUUUUGAGGCAAGCCCCAUAUUGUGAGGAUAUUUUGAUUAAUCUAUCUUGUUAAAAUCUGAUGGUUGACUAUCUUCUUUUUUUAAUUUUCUUUUCGAGUUCUCAAUUUUUAUUUCAUGAACUGCCAAGUAUGUUCUCAUACAUGCAUUAAAUAUUGGGAUGAUAUAUGUGCAUAUGUGUUAUCUUUCUUGUGGGUUGACAAAAACAGCUUUUACAUGUAAAGUUUGUGCUCCAUACAUCGUCAUCGGUAAAAUGAACUUUUUAGUGAUUAAGUAUUAAUGUACAAUAAAAUUGUGUAGGACUUGGAACAAAAAACGAGAGGCAAACAGGAGCUUCUGGAUGGUAGGCAUUUCAAAAUUUGUACCUAGUUAAUUUGAUAAACUCUUUCCCAUGGAACUUUGUCCAUGUGUUAUUGCAGAGAUAUCCAGAAAUGGCACAAAUGGUGUGAUCACUGCACCAACAUGGGCAACAUCACAUCAGACAAUGCCGAUUAUGCAUAUGCUACCAGCUGGAGUACCUGGAGUGGUUGCUGGUCCCACCACAAACUUGAGUAUAGGGAUGGAUUACUGGGUUUCUCCAACAUCUGCCAUUCCUCCAGAGCAUGGGAAGGUCCCUGCAGCAGCAGCUACAGGAGCCAUGAUUUCCGGUGCACUUGUUGGGGCCACUGAGAAGGUUCCAUCAGAGAUUUGGCAACAGGUUUUUUCUCAGCUUUAGUGUUAGUUGUCUUAUUUUUUUGCAUUAAUCAUCAAUUCGUUAUCCAAGAGGUUACUUACUCGAUGAUCAACAUCUGUUUUGUUGUUCAUGAAACAGUAUAUGCCAUGAGUCUUCAUAGUUUGUUAUGACUUUAUAAUGGAGAUUGGAUACUACCAACCAGAACUUUCUUGCUGGCUGUGAAGUAAAUGUUUUUCCAUCUGGCCAUAAUCACUAUAACAAUUCCAAAGUAGUCUUUAUUUUUAUAAAAUAGAAAUGGUGCCUUGUUCCCUUUCAGUGUAUCUUGAGCAAUUUGCAGCUUUUUGUUACUAAUUUGUUGCUUUGGUGAUUUCUAUUUCCUCUCCUAUAUUUGCUGCAACUUACUAGCCUUUGUGAUCUGGAAAUGGCUUCUCGAUGUUUGUGUUAUCGUAUUAAUGUUUGGGUCUUUUAUGAAGUCAGGAUGAAAGAGAACUCAAAAGGCAGAGGAGAAAGCAGUCAAACAGGGAAUCCGCACGUCGGUCGAGAUUGCGCAAGCAGGUAUAACUCAUCUAGAGAACAUGGAAAUCCUUGAAUGAACUUUUGACGAUGGUUCUCAUUGGUUUUGAGAUGCUACUUCCAGGCAGAGUAUGAAGAAUUGGCUCAGCGUGUUGAGGCUCUAAGAGAUGAGAAUGCUGCUCUUCAAGCAGAAGUAGAGCAGAUCAAGAAAGAAUACGAUGCACUUGUUGCAUUAAAUGCCACUCUGAAGGUAAUAAAGUACAUCUUGAUUGGGAAGCUGUUGUUCUGCCUGCAAUAUCAUGCUGCAGAAAUGAUAGGGACAGUUUUGCAGGAGAGAACUGGGGAAACAACAAAAGAAAAAGAAGAUUUGAUAAUCAAGGAGAGAAGCCAUCAUGCUGAUGACAACGUCCAGAGGAACAUGGAUUCUGAUCCACCAACGGGGCCAUCAGAAAAUAAUCAGAUUGAUCAAUAAAACAGCAACUUCUACAGUAAUUUCCUCAAGUCUAAGCCUGACUAGAUCAUGACAGUGCCCUACCUCCUAAUAGAUUGACAUGAAAAAUUGAUGCAGUUGCUUAUUUCUGGGUACCACAUUGUAUAUACUGACAUUUCAGCAUGGUCCCUUUGGUGUUUUUGUCUUGACUCAUCUUUUAACAGUCAAGCCAAGCAGCGGGUAUAAUGCUGGAAUUAGUGCUCAUUAUUUAGAGCAACACCAGGUACUUCAAUUCUAACUGUUAGAGAUGGUUAUUAUUGACUGAUAUGUAACUGGAGGAUAUUGUUAAUGUGUCUCUCUACAGCAGAUAUGUCAUAGAGUUAAAGAUCUAUGUAUUGUCCUUAUUGUUGACAAGUAUGAAACAGUCUGUACUGACAGUAACCUAAUACCUAUGUUACAGGCUUUUAUACCUUGUACUCUCUCUCUCUCUCUCUCUCUCUCUCUCUCUCUCUCUCUGUAUGCAUGGGCAAACAAGCUCAGCCAGCAUUCAGCUGCUACUCUUUAAGCUGCAAAUCUGUUUCUGCAAGUGUUAAAGCUUAAGCUCUUAGGAUUAUUGAUUACUAAGUCAAAAUCUUUAUUAUGGUAUCUGUUUUUUUUUUUUUUUAAUUUCAUCAUGUGUUUAAUCAAUACUUGUGCAAUGCCCUUUCUCCUUAAUUAGUUUGCUCCUAAGAGAGGAAUUUGUAUAUUGGCGAGGUUUCAUCUCUAGGUCUCCAAGUUAUUAUUUGUUAUUGGUUUCCAUUUAAUCUCUGCUACUAGUUUUGUUUCAUCAAUGUCGACCAAGAACUUGAAGCUGAAAUAUUUGGGUCAACAGGAAACUUGUUCUACACAUGCUGUUAAUUCUGAGGAGCAACCUACAUCUUUAGGAGGAUGAAUGCAGUUCCUUCUAAAGCAUCUUCCAUAAGACUCUGCAGCUGCUGUGCCCACACAAUUACUGCCAAAUGUCGACUGAAAGCAAUGUCUUGCACCAAAGAACAUUGUUUCGACCAAUCUGGUAUGGUCUUUUUCUUUUCUUCCAUAGCAAAUCAUGGACUAAUUUCCACCUUGCAUGAUGAACAUUAUCUUUUGGACUCCCCAACCCCUCAUUCCCUCAUCUCCAACUGGCCAUGCUUUUUGUGCCAUGUGGCAUGACCAUAUCUUGAGUCAUGAGAUGGCCACCAAGCAAUCUCCAUGCAUCGUAACCCUCAAAAACACCUAGUUUGCAGGGUUCAUAAACCAAGAGAAGAUUUUAAAUGCAUGUAAAUUCCUUCUUUUUUUAUUUUUUAAUUUCACUGUCAGAUGAAGCUAGAAGACAACCUUCACAUAGGAAACCCAAACUCCCACCUCAAUAAGCUCCCCAGUUUUUGUCCAUCACUAGGACAAAUGACACCUCUGAAAUCCAUCACAAAAUCUCAGGCCAUACAUUUUUCUUGAAUUGUUAUUGGAAAUAUUAAGAUUUCAUAGGAAACCAACUUUCAGUUUCUCAUGGUCUGCCCCUUGAAAUCAUCAAGAGUAGAGGAAGUCAGACCACACUUUCUCUUUUAUCUUCAUGCUCUCUCUCUCUCGACUUCACCUCCCAAUUUCUUUCCUCAAAAAACCUUGGGAGGAAAGAGCAAAGGCUCGAUUCAGCUGCAGCUGAGCUCAUAGGGAAUGGCAACCUGUGCAGUCUAUACCACUCCAUCCCUCCACUCAUGUUCUAUCACCAGCCCAGCAAAGACUUCAUUGGGCUUCCACCAAAGGCAGGUCAUCUUCUUCACUAGCAGGAGAAUUACCAAGAGAGGAGGGAGGAGUACCUCAGAGGUCACGUGCUCUGCUGAGGCUAAGACGGUGGUGAUAGGGCUGGCAGCAGACUCGGGCUGCGGGAAGAGCACCUUCAUGAGGAGGCUGACGAGUGUGUUCGGAGGUGCAGCUGAGCCACCCAAGGGAGGAAACCCAGACUCCAACACAUUGAUCAGUGACACCACCACUGUCAUAUGCCUGGAUGACUACCACUCCUUGGACAGAACCGGGAGGAAGGAGAAGGGUGUCACUGCUCUGGACCCGAGGGCCAACAACUUCGACCUCAUGUAUGAGCAGGUGAAGGCUCUCAAGGAUGGAGUUGCCGUUGACAAGCCCAUCUACAACCAUGUCACCGGCUUGUUGGACCCCCCUGAGCUCAUCCGGCCACCCAAGAUUCUGGUCAUCGAAGGUCUGCACCCCAUGUGAGUUCUCCUCUAUGAUUCUUUCUGCAGCUUUAGUGUCAGUUUUGCGUUCUAUCCAUCUCUGUCAUGUAGCAACCGAUCUGAUGAUUAUUCUUUCACCUUCCAUAGGUUUGAUCCCCGUGUGAGGGAACUGUUGGACUUCAGCAUCUACUUGGACAUCAGCGAUGAGGUCAAAUUCGCAUGGAAGAUUCAAGUCAGCCACUGUAUCCUCAUCCAAGUCCAUAAUCAUGUCGAUAAUACUAGUGAAUUGCUCUCUCAAUCCACUCUGUCUUUUGAAUCGCAGAGAGACAUGGCGGAACGCGGGCACAGUCUCGAGAGCAUCAAAGCCAGCAUCGAAGCUCGAAAGCCCGACUUCGAUGCAUACAUCGGUACCUCCGUUUUCCAUAGACGAAUCGUUCAUUUGUCAGCUGACUUCCGCUCACCGAUCACUCGUUCGACUUGGUGUUCUUGGCAGACCCGCAGAAGCAGCACGCCGAUGCCGUCGUCGAGGUUCUCCCGACGCAGUUGAUUCCCGACGACAACGAAGGCAAGGUGUUGCGGGUGAGGUUGAUCAUGAAGGAAGGGUUGAAGCACUUCAGCCCGGUCUACCUGUUCGACGAAGGCUCCACCAUCUCUUGGAUCCCAUGCGGGAGGAAGCUCACCUGCUCGUACCCUGGCAUCAAGUUCGCUUACGCCCCGGACACCUACUACUCCAAUGAGGUAAACCCCCAUCUCCCUCUCUCGCUCUCCACUCGUCAUCUCAUCUUCAUGGUUCUUGCGCAGGUCUCGGUGUUGGAGAUGGACGGACAAUUCGACAGGUUAGAUGAGCUGAUCUAUGUGGAGAGCCAUUUGAGCAACCUCUCCACCAAGUUCUAUGGGGAGGUGACGCAGCAGAUGCUGAAGCACUCCGACUUCCCCGGCAGCAACAACGGGACCGGUCUGUUUCAGACGAUCGUCGGGUUGAAGAUCAGGGAUUUAUUCGAGCAGAUUGUUGCCGAGAGGGCAGCUGCUGUUGCUGA
rnacentral:lncRNA from 1 species